rnacentral:piRNA from 1 species
UACCUCUGUAUGGGAUAUGAGUCUGCCCC